rnacentral:lncRNA from 1 species
CCUAGGGGUGCUGUUAUGUCGAGUGCAAGACUCUAACGGUGAUGCUCUCAGCCAGCAUGAGGGGGUGGUGAGAGCCAGUGGCUCCCACAUCCCAUGUGCUUAGGGACCCCCGGAGGGCCACACCUUAUAUUUUUGAAUCAGAGUGAUGAGCAAAAUAAUGGAGUAAGCCUUCAUCUCCCGGACCUGUCUGUUUCUGGAUAGAGGUUCACUGCUAUGGAACAAAUCGC